rnacentral:rRNA from 1 species
GACGUAGGGUGCGAGCGUUUGUCCGGAUUUAUUGGGCGUAAAGAGCUCGUAGGCGGUGUGUCGCGUCGGCCGUGAAAACCUGCAGCUUAACUGUGGGCUUGCGGUCGAUACGGGCAUCACUGGAGUUCGGCAGGGGAGACUGGAAUUCCUGGUGUAGCGGUGAAAUGCGCAGAUAUCAGGAGGAACACCGGUGGCGAAGGCGGGUCUCUGGGCAACAACGUGACGGCUGAGGAGCGAAAGUGUGGGGAGCAAACAGG